UACGGAGGGUGCAAGCGUUAAUCGGAAUUACUGGGCGUAAAGCGCGCGUAGGCGGCUUGGUCAGUCGGAUGUGAAAUCCCUGGGCUCAACCUGGGAACUGCAUUCGAUACUGCCUGGCUAGAGUGUGGGAGAGGGUGGUGGAAUUCCCGGUGUAGCGGUGAAAUGCGUAGAUAUCAGGAGGAACACCGGUGGCGAAGGCGGCUCUCUGGUCCACAACUGACGCUGAGGUGCGAAAGCUAGGGGAGCAAACGGG
rnacentral:rRNA from 1 species